rnacentral:lncRNA from 1 species
AUCAAAAUAGGGUUGCUGAUUCAAUUGCUGUGGCAGUAAGAGUGUGAAAGAUCUUGCUUUUACUGUCUGGAGGCUGAUUUACCAUAGAGGAAACCUAUAUCAUCAAUUGCUAACUGGGGAUUAUAAGAAGAGCUGCAAACAACUAGUGGAAGAAAAAAAGAAUCAAAUACACCAUAUAGGUGGAAAGAAAAAAGACAAAUAA